rnacentral:tRNA from 1 species
GGAGGGGUGUGCCGAAUGGUAAGGCGCUGGUCUUGAAAACCAGUGGGGUUUUACCCCUUGCGAGUUCGAGUCUCGCCCCCUCCG